rnacentral:misc_RNA from 1 species
GGGGAACCUGCGGCUGGAUCACCUCCUUUCUACGGAGCAACGAGUGUGGAGACCCCGCUUCGGCGGAUGUCCCUCCCCUCGCUCUGUCAACGUUCGGUGCUGCAACCUGGUUUUCAGCGGUCGGGCCGCUGCGCUCUACGGAGCGCGCCGCUCUCUGACAACGUCAUGCGAAUCGAAUUCUGACUUCGAACAGGCAGACGAGAGAAGAUUGAAGAGACCGCCAGGUCUCGACGUGGGUGACCCGGUCGAGGCUGAGGCGUAGUUGUGUUGACGCCUUGGAGGGAUGAUCAAGCUACCAAGGGCGCAC